rfam:Oryza nivara chromosome 4, whole genome shotgun sequence.
AAAAAAACAAACCCUGGAUUUCCGUGUCCAACGUUUGACUGUCUGUCUUAUUUAAAAAAAUUAUGAAAAAAAUUAAAAAGACAAGUCACGCAUAAAGUAUUAAUCAUGUUUUAUCAUCCAACAACAAUAAAAAUAUUAAUUAUAAAAAAAUUUUCAUAUAAGACGAACUGUCAAACGUUGGACACGGAAACUCAGGGUUUGUCUUUUU